rnacentral:rRNA from 1 species
GAGUUUGAUCGUGGCUCAGGAUGAACGCUGGCGGCGUGCUUAACACAUGCAAGUCGAACGGAGAUAGCAAUAUCUCAGUGGCGCACGGGUGAGGAACACGUAGCUUAUCUGCCCAGAAGCGUGGGAUAACGCUCCGAAAGGAGUGCUAAUACCGCAUAAGCUCCCGAGCUAUAGAGGCUUGAGAGAAAAGGGGAAACUCGCUUUUGGAGGAGGCUGCGGCCCAUCAGGUAGUUGGUGCGGUAACGGCGCACCAAGCCAACGACGGGUAGGGGACCUGAGAGGGUGAUCCCCCACACUGGGACUGAGACACGGCCCAGACUCCUACGGGAGGCAGCAGUGAGGAAUAUUGCCCAAUGGAGGAAACUCUGAGGCAGCGACGCCGCGUGGGUGAUGAAGGCCUUCGGUCGUAAAGCCUUUCUGCAUGACGAGAACGGACGGUAGUGCAGGAAU